UACGUAGGGACCGAGCGUUGUCCGGAUUCAUUGGGCGUAAAGAGCUCGUAGGCGGCUAUUCAAGUCGAACGUGAAAUCUCGGAGCUCAGCUCCGAAACUGCGUUCGAUACUGGGUAGCUAGAGUCUGGUAGGGGGAUCUGGAAUUCCUGGUGUAGCGGUGGAAUGCGCAGAUAUCAGGAGGAACACCGGUGGCGAAGGCGGGAUCCUGGGCCAGUACUGACGCUGAGGAGCGAAAGCUAGGGGAGCGAAUGGG
rnacentral:rRNA from 1 species